GAAAGGCCUGCAGCUUGCUGCGGGUACUCGAGUGGCGAACGGGUGAGUAACACGUGGGUGAUCUGCCUUGCACUUCGGGAUAAGCUUGGGAAACUGGGUCUAAUACCGGAUAGGACAGCUGUUUAGUGUCAGUUGUGGAAAGUUUUUUCGGUGCAAGAUGAGCUCGCGGCCUAUCAGCUUGUUGGUGGGGUAAUGGCCUACCAAGGCGUCGACGGGUAGCCGGCCUGAGAGGGUGUACGGCCACAUUGGGACUGAGAUACGGCCCAGACUCCUACGGGAGGCAGCAGUGGGGAAUAUUGCACAAUGGGCGGAAGCCUGAUGCAGCGACGCCGCGUGGGGGAUGAAGGCCUUCGGGUUGUAAACUCCUUUCGACAGGGACGAAGCGUAAGUGACGGUACCUGUAUAAGAAGCACCGGCUAACUACGUGCCAGCAGCCGCGGUAAUACGUAGGGUGCGAGCGUUGUCCGGAAUUACUGGGCGUAAAGAGCUCGUAGGUGGUUUGUCGCGUCGUCUGUGAAAUUCCGGGGCUUAACUCCGGGCGUGCAGGCGAUACGGGCUGACUUGAGUGCUGUAGGGGAGACUGGAAUUCCUGGUGUAGCGGUGAAAUGCGCAGAUAUCAGGAGGAACACCGAUGGCGAAGGCAGGUCUCUGGGCAGUAACUGACGCUGAGGAGCGAAAGCAUGGGUAGCGAACAGGAUUAGAUACCCUGGUAGUCCAUGCCGUAAACGGUGGGCGCUAGGUGUAGGGGGCUUCCACGUCUUCUGUGCCGUAGCUAACGCAUUAAGCGCCCCGCCUGG
rnacentral:rRNA from 1 species